UCGUACAAUGGAGGUGCUGGGGUUGUCGCUGACCUUUGAAAGGGUCGUGCACGCCUCGGUGCUUUCACACAUAAUCCAUCUCACCCCUUUUGUGCAUCACCGCGUGGGGGCCCCUUUUAGCUAGUUCUGAAGGGGGCUUUCACGUUUUUACAAACACACCCUUUUAAAUGCAAUAUGUAGAAUGUCUUACUUUUUGCGAUGACACGCAAUCAAUA
rnacentral:misc_RNA from 1 species